GUAGUCAUAUGCUUGUCUCAAAGAUUAAGCCAUGCAUGUCUAAGUAUGAACACGCUUUGUACGGUGAAACUGCGAAUGGCUCAUUAUAUCAGUGAUCAUUUAUUUGAUGAUGCCUUACUACGUGGAUAACCGUGGUAAUUCUAGAGCUAAUACAUGCACACGACUCCCGACUCGUGAGGGAAGGGAGGUAUUUAUUAGGUAAGAACCAGCCCAGGCAACUGGAGCACUGGUGAUUCAUGAUAACUGCACGAAUCGCACGGCCUCGCGCUGGCGAUGGAUCAUUCAAAUUUCUGCCCUAUCAACUUUUGAUGGUAGGAUAGAGGCCUACCAUGGUCGCAACGGGUAACGGGGAAU
rnacentral:rRNA from 1 species